rnacentral:rRNA from 1 species
CCUACGGGGGGCAGCAGUGGGGAAUAUUGGACAAUGGGGGCAACCCUGAUCCAACCAUGCCGCGUGUGUGAAGAAGGCCCUCGGGUUGUAAAGCACUUUCAGUGAGGAAGAACGCCUGGUGGUUAAUACCCAUCAGGAAAGACAUCACUCACAGAAGAAGCACCGGCUAACUCCGUGCCAGCAGCCGCGGUAAUACGGAGGGUGCGAGCGUUAAUCGGAAUUACUGGGCGUAAAGCGCGCGUAGGUGGCUUGAUAAGCCGGUUGUGAAAGCCCCGGGCUCAACCUGGGAACGGCAUCCGGAACUGGCAAGCUAGAGUGCAGGAGAGGAAGGUAGAAUUCCCGGUGUAGCGGUGAAAUGCGUAGAGAUCGGGAGGAAUACCAGUGGCGAAGGCGGCCUUCUGGACUGACACUGACACUGAGGUGCGAAAGCGUGGGUAGCAAACAGGAUUAGAUACCCCGGUAGUC